GAAUUGCUUUUUAUUCUUUUCACCCUCCCGCAAGAUGAAGGCAACAAAAACAUCAGGAGUCUCGUCUUGGAAAGUAAGCGAUGGAAAUUGCUAGAAUCGAGGGGUUUUGUGAAGAGAUCUACGACUUGCUGUUAUGAAGGAACAUGGCAAGUGAUGAUGAAACUUUUGGAGAUUUGAUUACGAACGACAUGGUAGUCGAUCUCCAAGUGUUUCGUUCAUUUGUGGAACACUGGAUUUGAGGUGAUGUGUAAGGCGGCCUUGUUGUCGCAGUGAAGAGGGAUAGGAAAAGCGAGAUCUAUCUGAAAUCCUUGUAAAAGAAAAUCAAGGAUGAACCCAGGAAAAUACAGAGCCCAUUAAGUGAUUUUCGAGAAGUAGGACAAGCGGCCCAGUCUGAGUCGCAGUAAGCAGAGAGUUGAAGGGUUGUGUUUGCUAGAAAGUGAAGACCUUUAUGUGGGCUUCCUUUAAGGUACCAGAUAACUUGCAAAGCGGCAUCCACAUGGGUUUUCUAAGUACUUGCAUGUACUGGAUAAGUUGUUGGGUGGAGUAGGUGAUGUAUGGCCGAGUGAGUGCGAGGUACAAAAGGCAUCCUACUAGCCUCCAAUGCUGCUUUAGAUUAGGAACAUCCCUUCAUCUGAUCCUGCAAUUUCGAGCCCUAUAAAGUACUAUACAUGUCCGAAAUCCUUUAUCAUGACGACACUAUGCAGAUAAGUCUUUACAUCUUGAAUUUGUUGUGCAUUAGUGCCAAUAAUUAGCAUAUCACCAAUAUAGAAAAUUAGAGCCAAAAAGUUAGCACCGAAUCCUUUUGUAAAGAGACAAUGGUCAGUUUAAUACUGUUUAAAACCGUAGGAACACAUUUUAGAGGCCAAUUCAAUAUUCCAUUGUCUUCCAGCUUGUUUGAGACUAUAUAGACUUUUCACAAGUUUGCACACUUGCCCUUUGGGUACUGUGUAACCUUUAGGAGCUUGCAUGUAUAGAUCCUCUUCUAUAUGUCCAUGGAGAUAGGCUUUGUUUAUAUCUAGUUGAUGUACUUGCCAUAUUUUAGUUGCUGCUAUGGCUAAAAAAACUCUUACUGUUACCAGUUUGGCAACAAGGGAGAAACUUUCAUGAUAGUCAACCCCAGGUAAUUGGCUGUAUCUUUUUGUCACCAACCUUACUUUGUAUUUGUCUAUAAUGCCAUAUGAGUUGUAUUUGACUCUAAAAACCCAAUUAGAUGCAAUAGCUUUCUUUGCUUUAGGCAGAUUAGUCAGAAUCCAUGUAUUAUUAUUUUUUAAUGCAUCUAACUCACUUUGCAUAACAUUUACCUAAUUACUGUUCUGUCUAGCUUCAAAAUAAGAUCUAGGUUUUGUUACAAUAGACAAAGCAGCCAUAAAAUUAAUAUGUUUAUGAUUAA